rnacentral:rRNA from 1 species
UACGUAGGUGGCAAGCGUUGUCCGGAUUUAUUGGGUUUAAAGGGUGCGUAGGCGGCCCCAUAAGUCAGUGCUGAAAUACUCUAGCUCAACUAGAGGUGUGGCAUUGAUACUGCGGGGCUUGAGUGGAGUCGAGGUAGGCGGAAUUGACGGUGUAGCGGUGAAAUGCUUAGAUAUCGUCAAGAACACCGAUAGUGUAGACAGCUUACUAGGCUUCAACUGACGCUGAGGCACGAAAGUGUGGGGAUCAAACAGG